UCACUGCCGAGGAGUCCCAUAAUAGGACGAAACGGCCGUCCAAUGC
rnacentral:hammerhead_ribozyme from 1 species